AGUCGAGCGAUGAGAUCCCUUCGGGGAAGGAUUAGCGGCGAACGGGUGAGGAACACGUGAGGAAUCUGCCUUCAACACUGGGAUAACUCCGGGAAACCGGGGCUAAUACCGGAUACGAGACCUGCAGGCAUCUGCGGGUCUGGAAAGUUUUUCGGUUGAAGAUGACCUCGCGGCCUAUCAGCUUGUUGGUGAGGUAAUGGCUCACCAAGGCGACGACGGGUAGCCGGCCUGAGAGGGCGACCGGCCACACUGGGACUGAGACACGGCCCAGACUCCUACGGGAGGCAGCAGUGGGGAAUAUUGGGCAAUGGAGGGAACUCUGACCCAGCGACGCCGCGUGCGGGAUGAAGGCCUUCGGGUUGUAAACCGCUUUCAGCAAGGAAGAAGCGAAAGUGACGGUACUUGCAGAAGAAGCACCGGCUAACUAUGUGCCAGCAGCCGCGGUAAUACAUAGGGUGCAAGCGUUGUCCGGAAUUAUUGGGCGUAAAGAGCUCGUAGGUGGUUCGUCACGUCGGAUGUGAAAAUCUGGGGCUUAACCCCAGACCUGCAUUCGAUACGGGCGAGCUAGAGUGUGGUAGGGGAGACUGGAAUUCCUGGUGUAGCGGUGGAAUGCGCAGAUAUCAGGAGGAACACCAAUGGCGAAGGCAGGUCUCUGGGCCAUUACUGACACUGAGGAGCGAAAGCGUGGGGAGCGAACAGGAUUAGAUACCCUGGUAGUCCACGCCGUAAACGGUGGGCACUAGUUGUGGGAACCUUCCACGGUUUCUGCGACGCAGCUAACGCAUUAAGUGCCCCG
rnacentral:rRNA from 1 species